rnacentral:lncRNA from 1 species
CAUUUAGGAAUCUCUCGCCGUCUUUAAAUCUCCUACUGAUCUGAAGUUCUUGCAAUGAAUUAUAAAUAUUAAUAGGACUUUUAGUAUCUAAUAUUCAGAUAGUAGUAUCACAAAUAGAGAAGUUACAAGGUGUUAUCAUAUAAUUAUCUUAACCAGCAACUGCUUGCUGCUCUCUUGUAUGGCCUGUUUGGAUCAAAAGAGGCAAGAUAUUGAG